UUUUAUAUUCCUCGCUUCAGUAUUUUGACUGUAAAUUUGAGAUUGACACUUCUUUUCUUGAGUAUAGGCAUGACUUGUAGAGAGGGAAAGUGAAACCAGCCAUCAGGGUACAAGUCACUUUAUGAUAAACAAAACGGGUACAGAAAAAAACCAACCUACCCACCCCUGCCUCCCAGAUUUUUAACUAAUGAACUGUGUCUAAGACACCAAUAUUGGUGCAAAGAAAUGGUUUGUGAAUUCUGAUGGGAAAUGAGUUAGGCCAGUAAGUAACUUUGUUUGAAGAUGCACAACAUAAACAACUUCAGUAAUGCUUAGUUGCUUAGAUACAGUACGCCAGAAGAAUCAAUAUAUUUGUGUACAUAAUUAGUUUGGCUUGGUAAGUAUUCAGUUUUUCUGAUGAAUUUUCGUUUGGCUGUUUUCAUAAUAUGAGCUAGCAGAUUGAGUAUUUUGUCAACCUAGGAAAAAAUAGACAAAAGAUGUCUCUUUAACCUUCAGUAAAUGUUUGAUAUUUAACCUCUGUGCUCUGUAUUUAGUAAUAGGUUAUUACUUUGUGCCUCAAACAGUUUUAAUUUGUAUAUUAUGUACAUGUUUGUAUAUUUUUUACUGGAGUUGGGAAACGCUAACUCGAUUAAAGCUUUGGUUUCUCAAUUUGUUGAUAACAAUGUAUAAAACCCUCUAUUGUGCAUUCAUACUGCUUUAAAAAAGACAAAUAUUUCAACCUAACAUAUAGCUAGACGUGGCUCAUUAAAGCACAUCUUACUCUACAUUUUCUUUUUGAAUUUUUUGGCAGAAAAAU
rnacentral:lncRNA from 1 species